UGAGUGAUAGUCCUGAAUUUAUUUGCGAGCUGGACAAUGAAAAGAUCUAGCACCAUGUAAAUUCAGCAUUUGAGCUC
ncrna:Haemonchus contortus (barber pole worm) microRNA hco-mir-83 precursor